rnacentral:rRNA from 1 species
GACGAACGCUGGCGGCGUGCUUAACACAUGCAAGUCGAACGGUGAAGCGCCUUCCUUUUUGGUGGGUGUGGAUGAGUGGCGAACGGGUGAGUAACACGUGAGUAACCUGCCCCCUUCUUCUGGAUAACCGCAUGAAAGUGUGGCUAAUACGGGAUAUUCUGGGUCUGUCGCAUGAUGGGUCUGGGAAAGAUAUUGUUUCGGUGGGGGAUGGGCUCGCGGCCUAUCAGCUUGUUGGUGGGGUGAUGGCCUACCAAGGCGGUGACGGGUAGCCGGCCUGCGAGGGUGGACGGUCCCACUGGGCCUGAGGCACGGCCCAGACUCCUACGGGAGGCAGCAGUGGGGAAUAUUGCACAAUGGGCGCAAGCCUGAUGCAGCGACGCCGCGUAAGGGAUGGAGGCCUUCGGGUUGUGAACCUCUUUCGCCAGUGAAGCAGGCCUGCCUCGUUUGUGGGUGGGUUGACGGUAGCUGGAUAAGAAGCGCCGGCUAACUACGUG